rnacentral:tRNA from 1 species
GGUGGCUCAGUGGUAGAGUGCUUGCCUGGCAUGCAUGAGGCCCUAAGUUCGAUUCCUCAGCACCA